rnacentral:rRNA from 1 species
AUUGAACGCUGGCGGCAUGCCUUACACAUGCAAGUCGAACGGUAGAGGGGGCAACCUCUCGAGAGUGGCGAACGGGUGAGUAAAGCAUCGGAACGUGCCCAGUAGUGGGGGACAGCCCGGCGAAAGCCGGAUUAAUACCGCCUACGUCCUAAGGGUGAAAGGGGGGGAUCGCAAGACCUCGCGCUAUUGGAGCGGUCGAUGUCAGAUUAGCUAGUUGGUGGGGUAAAAGCUCACCAAGGCGACGAUCUGUAGCCGGUCUGAGAGGACGACCAGCCACACUGGGACUGAGACACGGCCCAGACUCCUACGGGAGGCAGCAGUGGGGAAUUUUGGACAAUGGACGAAAGUCUGAUCCAGCCAUGCCGCGUGCGGGAAGAAGGCCUUCGGGUUGUAAACCGCUUUUGUCAGGGAAGAAAUCCUUUGAGCUAAUACCUCGGGGGGAUGACGGUACCUGAAGAAUAAGCACCGGCUAACUACGUGCCAGCAGCCGCAGUAA